GUAGCGCAGCUUGGUAGCGCAUCUGGUUUGGGACCAGAGGGCCGCGGGUUCAAAUCCUGCC
rnacentral:tRNA from 1 species